CUGCGCGACUAAUAUAUAAAUCAUAAAAUAUUUCCAUACACUAAAUAUAGUUGACCUAUGGCGUAUAGUAUCAGAUAAAAAGACCAAAACUGAAAAACUUAACUUUGACCACUGAACCAUAAAAAUGAGGUCAAGGUCAGAUGACAUCUGUCCGUUAGACAUGUUCACCUUACAAUCAUUCCAUACAACAAAUAUAGUAGACCUAUUGCAUAAAGUAUGAGAAAAAC
rnacentral:lncRNA from 1 species